rnacentral:rRNA from 1 species
AAUAGAUACCCUGGUAGUCCACGCCGUAAACGAUGUCGACUUGGAGGUUGUUCCCUUGAGGAGUGGCUUCCGGAGCUAACGCGUUAAGUCGACCGCCUGGGGAGUACGGCCGCAAGGUUAAAACUCAAAUGAAUUGACGGGGGCCCGCACAAGCGGUGGAGCAUGUGGUUUAAUUCGAUGCAACGCGAAGAACCUUACCUACUCUUGACAUCCAGAGAACUUAGCAGAGAUGCUUUGGUGCCUUCGGGAACUCUGAGACAGGUGCUGCAUGGCUGUCGUCAGCUCGUGUUGUGAAAUGUUGGGUUAAGUCCCGCAACGAGCGCAACCCUUAUCCUUUGUUGCCAGCGGUCCGGCCGGGAACUCAAAGGAGACUGCCAGUGAUAAACUGGAGGAAGGUGGGGAUGACGUCAAGUCAUCAUGGCCCUUACGAGUAGGGCUACACACGUGCUACAAUGGCGUAUACAAAGAGAAGCGACCUCGCGAGAGCAAGCGGACCUCAUAAAGUACGUCGUAGUCCGGAUUGGAGU